CUAAUACUUUGUUCGGCAAUGUUGAAUUCCUGUGAAUAAAAAAAGGCUGAGUUCCUUUAACCCCACCCCAUCUGUUGCCGUUGGGAAAUUCUCAUGUAACCUGUUUACAGCAAUAAUUCUUUUUGAUGUCUUGGAAGAUAUUCUGGGUGUUUAUCACAGGGACCAAUGGAGCAAUGACCCCUUGACCACACUCCCUUUCUCAAAAACAGGUUGCUGUAGAAGUGUGGAUGAUAUGCCUAUUCAAGAUGAAGAGCUCAAGAAUUAACAUAAUUCUUUUGCUUUAGCGCCUUGUUGUUUCUAUACCUGAACUUACUGUUUCACCCUUUUUAUAUAUAAUAAAUAUAUAACAUAUAUAUUUUUAUAUACAGCUUUGCGUACACAAUACUACUCGUGUUUAAAUGCAUUUAUAUACUUGGAAUAUAAUCCUUUGAAGGUUCUCAAAGUUUUUUCCCCCUCUCUCAGUCCACUGCUUGUUAUAGAUAGAACAUAGGUUUAAGUUCUGUCUGUACAAAGUAGCAUUCCUGAAUUCUCCUCAAGGACAUGCCUGUAAAUGUUACCUCCAGCUGUAACCAAUUUAUCUUCAGUGUUUUUCCAUUUCAAAGGUUAUCUAAAAGUACUGUUUCACGCAUUGUUUUUCCUGAUCGUAUUCUGUAAAGUCAGUACUUAAUUUGUAAUGUAUAAUUUUAUAUAAUAAAGUAGUAUUUGGGUGGAUA